rnacentral:sRNA from 1 species
UCCUGUGGUCUGCGGCCAGGGGUGGUCUUA